CAUACCAGGGAAAAGCAUGAUUGUUGGGAUUUGUUUUGUUAUGCUACACAGCAUUUACUGAAUUUUAUCCAGAUCUUUCAGCAAAUUGAGAUGUGGUAGAAAAGUAUGUUAACUUUCAAUGUUACAAACAUCUUUCAAAACAUAAAGUUUUUGAUGUACAUCCUCUAAUAUUUACCUGCAAUGCAAUAUAAUGUAAAAAAAAAGUUGCAGUUGAAAUUAUAUUUUUAUUUUGCUUUUGGUAAUUGUUUUACAACCACAAAUUUUAAUACUAUUUAUAAACAAUCCUUUUUUUAACAAAAUAUUAAAAAUUGGCCAUAUUUAGGUGUAAUACCACCAUUGAUUUUCCCCUAUUAGUCUUUGUUAAAUUUGCACUUUUCAAAAAAUUGUGCAGAAUUUAUCUUUGUUUCAAAUAAAGAAAAUACUUGGCAUGAGUAAAGUUUUAUCCUGUCCAGUACUAUAGAAAAAAUUUCACAUAACAUUCAUUGCAUAUAAGAAAAUAACCAUCACUGGAAGUUAACCAAUCAAAUUUUCCCCUUUAAUAAACCUGUGUACAAGCUUUAGUAACCAUGUAACCUCAAGUUUCCAAAAUAUUCUAUAGAAACCUCAAAUAAAAAAAUAAUGGUGCUUUUAAAUACCCAAAAUAUAUGUUUAUGACCCAGAAAUGUUUUACUGCAAUGAAAUGUAGGAUUAAUUACCUACAACUGUCAAAUUCAAGGGAAUAUUUUUUUUCAAUCUAUUUUCGUAUGCAACCGGAUGUGAUGUACUAUGAUUUGGUGGUAUUACACCUUUAAAGUGGUGUCACUUUAUGCAUUUUCUCAUGUACUGAAAGUCAUCUUUUAGGAAACCUCAUUAACGUAAGAGGAAAUAUUACAAAAUCAGGUGAAAUUUAUGCUGAAAUAAUUUGUUAGCUGUGUGUAAAGUCUAAACUUAAGUUCUUUCGAGAAUUUUUAUAAAUAUUAAUGAAAAUUUUAAUGUUCAAAAACAGCAUAAAUUAAUUUCUUUUUUAAAAAGUGACAAAAACAGCUUAAGUUUUCAUAUAUUUAUGAGCUGUGAAUAGUUAUUGUAUGGAAAACUCCAUAAAUAUUGAGAGAUAUUUGUUGAUAUAGAACAGAUCUAAGUAUUUUAUUGGAUUUUGGUUCCCUCAAUAAAAUAAACCAUCUGAAACUUAUAUGUUUCAUGAAAAUGCUUUUAAAACUGGUCUUUCUAAGAUGACAUAACAAUAUUUAUUGUAAAGUUUUGGCUUCUGAACUGUCUUUUUGUGCGGAACAUAGAAAUACUGGGUGGGCCCACAUUGGUGCGUCUGUCAGUCCGGUCUUGUUAGCGCUCUCACAUGAACAAUUCCAGCCAAAUUUUUAUAAAACUUAUAUCAUAGGUUUAUAUCAGCAAUAUCUCGGACAAGUUCAAAAAUCAGUGCCGAUCAACUAUUUUUAAAAAGUUAUGCCCCUUGGAAAUAUUGAUUAUAUGGAAAAUUUCAUUGUUAGCGCUUUCAUGUGUACAAAAUUUUUUUAUGAAACUUGCAUCAAAGGUCUAUAUCAGCAAUGGUUCAGUUAAGUUCGAAAAUCAGUGACGAUUAAAUAAUUUUAAAAGAGUUAUGUCCCUUUGAAAUAUUAAUUAUAUGGAAAAUUGCAUUGUAAGCGCUCUCAUGUGUACAAUUUUUGCCAGAUUUUUAUCAAAUUUAUAUCAAAGGUUUAUAUAAGCAAAGUUUCUAUGGAAAUUGCAUUGCUUUCAAGCCUUCAUUUCUCUUAAGAUAUUUAUAAAAAGUUUUAAAGAACAAAAAAAAAAGUAUUUUUAGUUAUUGCCCUUGGACAAAUGAAAUAUGUGCAAUGCGGAGGACAUUAGAACUCUGUUCUUUUAUUUUAUUUGAUAUCAUCCAAUUUUUCAUACAGACUUUAAUUCACUGAAAAAUAAGACCAAAAAGUAGUUAUUGAACCCUCUUCUUAACAAAUUUAAGAUGGAAAGCAUGGAAAGCAGUAGUUUAAAUAUGAAAAAUGAUUGUUUUCACAAUUUACACUGGUUUCAAAUUUUCUUAGAGCUGAGUUCCCAGAGUUGUAUCCACAGGUUUAAGGAUUUCUUAGAACAAAAUUUUAACAGCUGUAACAGGGCUCGACAAUAACGCUUGUCCAAUUGUCCGGUACCAGAGGAAAAAAAGGUAGGACAAGUAAAAGCUAUAUCAAGCUUGUCCGAUGGGACAAGUUAAAUUAUUAUGCAGAAAAUAAAUUUAAUUCAACUUUGAACAAAGUAAUUAUAAACAAAAAAUAAGAAAAGAAGAUAAACACAAGUAUUACUUUGACAUGUUUACUUGCAAUUGAUGAUUUAAAACUGGUUCUUUGUCAGGUACUUUUUAACAGGUAAAAGGCAUACUUUUCUCGGAAACCAGUCUUACUGAUCCGAAUCAGCGAUGCACUUUGUAGAUAAGGUAACUUUUCAAGACAGUUCGUCACCAGCUCGAAACGAUUCGACUCCAAGUUUAAUAGACAGUUUGGCACCGUAGGAGACAUAUUUAAUAGACAUGAUUAAUAGACAGUUUGGCAACGCAGGAAACAGGAGACAUUUCGGGACCAAGGCAAAUCAGUACCUUGUUUUCCUACCUUAUUCUGUUGCUUUAUAAUAAAUACCAUAACGUAAUUUUUUUAACAAAAAAUAUUUUUUAAAUAAAAAUGAAGAAAUUAUUUACCAUAAAAUUCCCAAAUCAUAUUUGAUCAUAUAUAGAAGAAAAAACAAUACUUGCAAUACGGUGACCUAUAGUUAUUAAUUUCUGUGUCAUUUGGUCUCUUGCAGAGAGUUGUCUCAUUGGCAAUCAUACCUCAUCUUCUUUUUUUUUUAUUGAUUGAAUUUGAACAAACUUUUUAUACGACCGCAAAAAAAUUUUGUGGUCGUAUAUUGGUAUGACGUUGGCGUCGUCGUCGUCGUCGUCGUCCGGCGUCGUCGUCCGAAUACACAAUGGUUUUCGCACUCUAACUUUAGUUUAAGUGAAUGGAUCUCUAUGAAAUUUUACCAUAAGGUUCAAUACCACAAUAGGAAGGUGGGGAUUGAUUUUGGGGGUUAUGGUACCAACAGUAAAGGAAUUAGGGGCCAAAAAGGGGCCGAAAAAUAAGCAUUUUUGUAACUUCCAGACAUAACUUGUGUGUUAUUUUAUGGAUCUCUUUGACAUUGUACUACAAGAUUCCAUAUCACAAAGGGACGAUGCUGGGAUUGAUUUUGGGGUUAAUUUCCUCAAAAUUUUAGGAAUAAGGGGCCAAAAGGGGGCAAAAAACAAGCAUUUUUCUAGUUUCAUGACAAUAACUUGUGUGUAAGUGUAUGGAUCUUUCUGAAAUUUUACUACAAGGUUCCAUUUCACAAAGGGAAAGCUGGAAUUGAGUUUUGUGGUAAUUGCCCAAAACAUUUAGUAAUAAGGGGCCUAAAAAGGGGUGAUGAAUCAUAAGGGAAGAGGGGGGGUCCAAAAAGGGGUAUUUAUUUUUUUUCGUUUAAGGAAUAAGGGGAAAAAAGGUUAAAAAACUAGGGUUUCCAUUUUAAUAGACAAAUAAUUGAGUAAAGAACAUUAUUUAAAAGCAGUGUAAGGUUGGUAAUUCAAACUCAUUUAAAUAUCUCACCUACACUAUGUUUGAAUUAUGUAAAUUGGAAAUUUGCCAAUUAUUUUAGCAUAAUAAACUUCAUUGGAAAUUUGCCAAUAUAAAAUUUUGCUGAUGAAGGUUUUUUGUUUACCUUUAGUCUGACUAUGAUGUCAUUUUCUAUUUUAAUAGCCUUAUGAUGUAGUUAAAUUUUUUUUUAAUACUUUUAUGAUGUAUUUUAAUGCGCUUUUAUGGUUGCAAAUUUAUUGUUUUAGUAUAAUAAACUCCAUUGGAAAUUUACCAAUAGGUUGUUUAUUUUUAGCUAUGACUAUGAUGUCAUUUUCUAUUUAAUUUUAAGGUUACAAAUUAAUUUCAGUUUUAAAUAUUAUUGUAAAAUGUUUGCCCAAAACAUUUAUUAAUAAGUGGCCAAAAAAGGGGGCAAAAAUAAGCAUUUUUAGUUUCCAGACAUUAACUUGUGUUCAAGUGUAUGGAUUUCUCUGAAAUUGUACUUAAAGGUACCAUACCACAAAGGGAAGUGGGUCAAAAAAUUUUUGGGGGGGGGGGAUUUUUUUUCCUUUUUUUUUCUUUAAAAUUUUCCAUUUUAAGUUGGUUAAUUCUGAUCACAAAGAGAAAGUUGGAAUUGAGUUUGGGGGAUAAUUGCUCAAAUGUUUAGGAAUAAGGGGCUAAAAAAGUGGUUAAAAAUAUUUUUUUUAGUUUCCAACAAUUAAUUGUGUUUAAGUAAUUGGGUCUCUGUGAAAUUGUACUGCAAGGUACCAUACCACAAACUGAAGGCUGGGAUUGAGUUUGGGGGGGCGUGAUGUGUGAAAAUUUUCCACUUAAAGUUGGUUAAUUAUUUCUGAUUUAGAUAUAAAAGCAAAUAAUAAUGAUGUGGUUUGAUUUUAUCAAAAACUUAAAUUGAAGUUAUGUAUAUUGUAAAUUUAGGUUACAUUGGAAUUUAAGAAUUGGCUUUAGGGUUAUGGUUCAAACCUUUAAAUAAUAAGGGAAAAAAAGGUGAAAAAACAAGGGUUUCCAGGUUAAUAGACAAUUAAGUACAAAACAUUAUUUAAAAGCAGUGUAAGGUUGGUAAUUCAAACUCAUUUAAAUAUCUCACUUACACUGCUUUUAAAUUAUGUAAAUUGGAAAUUUGCCAAUAACUUUAUUGUUAAUAAAUGCAUUGGAAAUUUGCCAACAAUUUUAGUAUAAUAAACUUCAUUGGAAAUUUGCCAAUAUAAAAUUUUGCUGAUGAAGGUUUUUUGUUUACCUUUAGCCUUGACUAUGAAGUCAUUUUCUAUUUUUAUAGCCUUAUGAUGUAGUUGAAUUAUUUAAUACUUUUAUGAUGUGUUUAAAUGGGGUUUUAUGGUUGCAAAUUUAUUGUUUUAGUUUAAUAAACUCCAUUUAAAAUUUGGUAAUAAAAAAAAUUUUUGUUUAUUUUUAGCUAUGAUUAUGAUGUCAUUUUCUAUUUUACUUUUAUGGUUGCAAAGAAAUUUUUAUUUUUAGAUAUUACUGUUAAAUGAUGCUGAUUAAGGUUUUUGCUUAUGUUUAGCCAUGACUAUGAUGUCAUUUUCUAUUUUAAUAUCUGUCAUGAUGUAUUUAAAUGGGCUUUUAUGGUUACAAAGGAAUUUUAUUUUUCGAUAUUACUGUAAAAUGUUGCUGAUUAAGGAUUUUGUUUAUUUUUUAGCCAUGACUAUGAUGUCAUUUUCUAUUUUAAUACCUUUAUUAUGUAAUUUCCAUUUUUAGAUAUUACUGUUAAAUUUUCUAGUUUCAUGACAAUAACUUGUGUGUUUGUGUAUGGAUCUUUAUGAAAUUGUACUACAAGGUUCCAUCUCACAAAGGGAAAGCUGGGUUUGAGUUUGGGGGUAAUUGCCCUAAACGUUUAGGAAUUUGGGGCCAAAAAGGGGCCAAAAAACAAGCAUUUUUCUAGUUUCCAGACAAUAACUUGUGUUCAAGUGUAUGGAUCUCUCUCAAAUUGUACUGCAAGGUACCAUACCACAACGGGAAGGCUGGGAUUGAGUUUGGGGUGAUGAAUCAUAAGGGGGUUCAAAAAAUUUGGGGGGGAUUUUUUUUUCCUUUUUUUUCUUUAAAAUUUUCCAUUUUAAAUUGGUUAUUUCUGAUUUAUAUAUAAAAGCAAAUAAUAAUGAUAUGGUUUGAAUAGGUAAAUUAAUAAUUUUUAAGUUCUUAGACCACUUUCAUUCUGUGUCAGAAACCUAUGCUUUGUCAAAUAUUUAAUUACAAUCCAAAUUCAGUGCUGUAUCAAGCUUGAAUGUUGUGUCCAUACUUGCCCCAACUGUUCAGGGUUCAACCUCUGCGGUCGUAUCAAGCUGCGCCCCCAGCGGAGCAUUUUAUUUCAACUUAAAAAACCAGGAUACAAAUUUAAUGAGUGGAAAUUGACAGGCCUAUCAGACAGUGCCUCAUGUGUAGAGUCUGAUGAGACUUUGGCAUUGAUGAAAACUAGAACAUAAGUCCUGUGACAUGACUAGAUUCAGUUGUUCUCGACUCAUAUUUUGAAAAAGGUAUUUCAAAAGAUAUAAAUCAAAUUCUGUUCUAUUGUUUUAAUUCAUUUUGUUCCUUGAAUCAACUUAAAAUGCAAAAAAGGUUAUUAUUAAGAUUAUUUUUUUUGUUGGACAAGUUACAAUUUCAAUCGGACAAGUAAGUUUUGGUAUGUACUUGUCCUACUGGACAAGUUGGAAAAAAAGUUAUUGUAGAGGCCUGUCUAAGGAUUGUCAGGGUUAAGUUUCCACAGGUUUCAGGAUUUUCAAAAUUAAAUUUUCACAGGUUUCAGUUUUUUCAGGUUUAGUUCCACAGGUUUCAGGUUUCUGCAUGGUUUAAGUUCCACAGGUAAAAGUUUUUCUCAGGGUUAAGUUUUGACAGGUUUUUGUUUUCUCAGAGUUUUACAAUUUUGUUAAGGUAAUGACAUCUUUUUUUUUACAUUUCAUAGUUUAUUAAAGUAAAAUUAAAUAUCAUCCACUUGAAUAAAAUGUUUACUUUACAUUGGAUUGUCAAAAAUAAUUUCCUUUUUGGAGAAAUGAGUUUUGUAUUUUGAUGAAAAGGCAUAUCAUUUGCUCAAGAGCCAAAUUUGUUUAAGGAUUUUUAUUUUGUUUGCAUUUUGCUAGUUUAUCUAUGCUUUACAAAUGUAUUUGACAUUGAAGUAGUAGCAUACUUGGUUUAUUGUUUUGACCGUUUUAAUUGAACUGAAAUCUCUUACCAGGUCAAGUCCAUAUCUCUUUUAAUUACCAGAAAUAAAAUUUACUAAAGAUCAGAAAAAGAUGUGGAUAAAAAAAAGUUAAAUGAUUUGUGUUUGUACCCAAACUGUUCAAUUUCCUGUUGCUUAUAUAAUGGUUAUUGCAUGUUUUGAAACAUAGGUCUCCAUCCUAUACAUAUUGAAGUAAACUAGUAGCUAGAAUCAAAUAAUGUUUUCUGUCAAAAAAGUUCUAAUUUGGCAUAAAUAUAAGAAUAAGAAGAUGUGGUAAGACUGCCAAUGAGACAACUCCCCACCAGAGAUCAAAUGAUGGAGAAGUUAGCCACCAUAGGUCACUGUACAGCUUCAACAAUGAGCAAAACCCAUACCGCAAAGCAAGCUAUAAAGGCCCUGAAAUGACAAAUGUAAAACAAUUCAAAAUGAGAAAACUAACAGCCUGAUUUAUGUACAAAACAAUAAACAUAAAACAAAUAUGAUACUGCAACAAACGGUAGUUACUGAAUUACAGGCUCCUCACUUAGGAUGGGCACAUACAAAAUAGCUUUAUGCAUAGGGGUUUAACAUGGAAUAGUGUUGCAACAGACCAAAACAAGAACAAACUGUACAAAACAAUUACAGAAAAACAAAUAUGAUAAACAUAAACAAAUGACAACCACUUAAUUACAGGCUCCUGACUUGGGACAGGCACUUAUAUAAUGUGGUGGGGUUAAACGUGUGUGUGCGACCAAUCCUCCUCUUAACCUGGGACAGUCAUGUAACAGCAAAACAUAAGAACAAACUAUAGAAAUCAGUUUAAAAGGUCUUCAUCAGAUUGAUACAAAGUACAAAAACAACUAACAAAAACACUAAAGACACAAAGUACAGAUCUGAGAGUACUCACAGCCACUGAAAGCUAGUUCAAGGCCAAUAACAACUAAUAAAAUAAACAUGUAUCUUAGACUAAAAUAUCAAUCAGUACACAUCCAACAUCCAAUGGAUUUAGUGUAAAGACAUCAUAAACAG